rnacentral:lncRNA from 1 species
AUGACUGAGGGGGGGGAGGGGACAUUGGGGACAUCAGGGGACAUCAGGGACAGGAGGGGACAUCAGGGGACAGGAGGGGACAUCAGGGGACAUCCAGGACUCACCGGCACUGAGCAGGACAUGGGCGGCGGUGGCAGCCUGAGGGGACAGGAGGGGACAAGGUCAGCACGAGGGUCCCCAACGUCCCCAAUGUCCCCAAGGUGUCCCCAAGGUGUCCCCAAUGUCCCCGAUGUCCCCCAUGUCCCCAAUGUCCCCAUGGUGUCCCCAAGGUGUCCCCAAUGUCCCCAAUGUCCCCAAUGUCCCCAAGGUGUCCACAAGGUGUCCCCAAUGUCCCCAAGGUGUCCCCAAAGUGUCCUCAAUGUCCCCAAUGUCUCCAAUGACCCCAAUGUCCCCAAGGUGUCCACAAGGUGUCCCCAAUGUCCCCAAGGUGUCCCCAAAGUGUCCUCAAUGUCCCCAAUGUCUCCAAUGACCCCAAUGUCCCCAAGGUGUCCCCAAUGUCCCCAAGGUGUCCCCAAUGUCCUCAAUGUCCCCAUGGUGUCUCCAUGGUGUCUCCAAGGUGUCCCCAAAGUGUCCCCAUGGUGUCCCCAUGGUGUCCCCAGUGUCCCCAGGGUGUCCCCAAGGUGUCUCAAUGUCCUCAAUGUCCCCAAGGUGUCCCCAAGGUGUUCCCAAGGUGUCCCCAAAGUGUCUCCAAUGUCCCCAAGGUGUCCCCAGGGUGUCCCCAAGGUGUCCCAAAUGUCCAUGGGGAUGGACAGGUGGACAUGGGAUGGACAGAUGGAUGGACAUGGAGAUGGACAGAUGGACAUGGGAUGGACAGAUGGACACGGGGAUGGACAGAUGGACACGGGGAUGGACAGAUGGACACCUGGGAGGGUGGACAGACACGGACGGACACACGGACACCUGGGCAGGUGGACGAGCGGACACGAGGACAAACAGACACCAGGACAGACGGACACCGGGACAAACGGACACCGGGACAGAUGGACACCAGGACAAACAGACACCGGGACAAAGGGACACCGGGACAAAUGGACACCGGGACAAAGGGACAGAUGGACAGACAGACACCAGGACAAAUGGACACCGGGACAGACAGACACCGGGACAAAGGGACACCGGGACAGACAGACAUCGGGACAGACGGACACCGGGAUAAACGGACAGACAGAUAGAUGGACACCCGGACAAACAGACACCGGGACAAAUGGACACCGGGACAAACGGACAGACGGACAGACAGACACCAGGACAGACGGACAGACAGACGGACAGACGGACAGACAGACGGACAGAUGGACAGACCGACAGACGGACAGACGGACAGACCGCCCCCCCCCUCCCCGUGCCCACCUUCACCGGGGGCCGCCCCCGGAGCGUCCCCAGGGCGGCGGCGGCGGCUCCGAGCGCGGCGGCGGCGGCGAGAGCGGCGAGAGCGGCCACGGCCGCGGCCAGGCGGCGGCACCGGGAGCGCGCCCGGCCCGGACCCCGCGGCCACGGCCGGUCCCGGUUCUGGUUCUGGUUCCGCUCCAAGUCCCGGUUCUGAUCCCCGUACUGGUUCCGCUCCAAGUCCCGGUCCCGGUCCCGCUUCUGGUCCCGGUUCUGGCCCCAGUUCCGUUCCCCGUCCCGGUUUUGCUUUUGCUCCCAGUUCUUCUCCCGGUUCUGGUCCCAGUUCUGGCCCCGGUUCAUGGCUCUGUUCUGGUCCCAGUCCCGGUUCCGGUCCCGGUUCUGGUUCUGGUGUGCGUUCCGGUCCCAGUUCCGGUCCCAGUUCUGGUCCUGGCUCAUGUCCCGGUCCCGGUCCCGGUUCCGGUCCCAGUUCUGGUUCUGGUGCCCGUUCUGGUCCUGGCUCAUGUCCCGGUUCCGGUCCCAGUCCCCGUCCCGGUCCCGGUUCUGCUCCCAAUUCUGGUGCGGGUUCUGCUCCCGGUUCUGGUGCCCAUUCUGGUCCUGGCUCAUGUCCCGGUUCCGGUCCCAAUUUUGGUCCCGGUUCCGGUCCCAGUUCUGGUUCUGGUGCCCGUUCUGGUCCCGGUUCUGGUGCCCGUUCUGGUCCCGGUUCCAGUUCUGGUUCUGGUGCCCGUUCUGGUCCUGGAUCAUGUCCCGGUCCCAGUCCCGGUCCCGGUUCUGGUGCCCGUUCUGGUCCCGGUUCUGCUCCCAGUUCUGGUGCCAGUUCGGGUCCCAGUUCGGGUCCCGGUCCCGGUUCUUGUCCCGGUCCUGGUCCCGCUCCCGGUUCUUGUCCCGGUCCUGGUCCCGGUCCUGGUCCCGGUUCUGCUCCCAGUUCUGGUGCCCGUUCUGGUCCUGUCUCAUGUCCCAGUCCUGGUUCUUGUCCCGGCCCUGGUCCCGGUCCCGGUCCUGGUUCCGGUUCUGGUCCCGGUCCCGGUUCUGGCUCAUGUCCCGGCCCGGGCAGAGGCAGCGGCAGCUCCGCGGGGCCGCCGCGCGAGUCUCGGGGUCGGCGAGCGGCGACAUCGGCGACAGCGGAGCGGGACCGGAUUUUAA